rnacentral:tRNA from 1 species
GUUAACGUAGCAAAACCUGGCAUUGCAAAAGACCUAAACUCUUUCCUUAGAGGUCCAAAUCCUCUCGCUAACU